rnacentral:rRNA from 1 species
CCUACGGGUGGCAGCAGUGGGGGAUAUUGCACAAUGGGGGAAACCCUGAUGCAGCAACGCCGCGUGUGUGAAGAAGGUUUUCGGUUUGUAAACCACUGUCCUCGGUGAAGAUAAUGACGGUAACUAAGUAGAAAGCCCCGGCUAACUACGUGCCAGCAGCCGCGGUAAUACGUAGGGAGCAAGCGUUGUCCGGAUUUACUGGGUGUAAAGGGUGCGUAGGCGGUCUUGCAAGUCAGACGUGAAAACCACGGGCUCAACCUGUGGACUGCGUUUGAAACUGUGGGGCUUGAGUGAAGUAGAGGUAAGCGGAAUUCCCAGUGUAGCGGUGAAAUGCGUAGAGAUCAGGAGGAACACCAGUGGCGAAGGCGGCCUACUGGGCUUUAACUGACGCUGAGGCACGAAAGCAUGGGUAUCGAACAGGAUUAGAUACCCGAGUAGUC